rnacentral:tRNA from 1 species
GGGGAUUUAGCUCAGUGGCAUAAGCACCUGCCUUGUAAGCAGGCGGUCACAAGUUCGAUCCCCA